GGUAAGUCUUGGGUGGCACACCCAGGAAUCAGGCUCCCUCCUCUCUGGUUCCAGAUGCAUCACCCAAGAACUGCA
rfam:Myotis davidii contig66631, whole genome shotgun sequence.